rnacentral:rRNA from 1 species
GGGUGAAAGGCCAAUCAAACACCGUGAUAGCUGGUUCUCCCCGAAAUGCAUUUAGGUGCAGCGUUGCGUGGUUCUUGUUGGAGGUAGAGCACUGGAUGGUCUAGGGGGCUUAUCGGCUUACCGAAAUCAGCCAAACUCCGAAUGCUGGCAAGUGUAGCGUGGCAGUGAGACGGCGGGGGAUAAGCUUCGUCGUCGAGAGGGAAACAGCCCAGAUCAUCAGCUAAGGCCCCUAAGUGGUGACUCAGUGGGAAAGGAUGUGGAGUUGCGUAGACAACCAGGAGGUUGGCUUGGAA